rnacentral:rRNA from 1 species
ACGCAGGCGGCAGGCUUAACACAUGCAAGUCGAACGGUAACAGGAGAAAGCUUGCUUUCUUGCUGACGAGUGGCGGACGGGUGAGUAAUGCUUGGGAAUCUGGCUUAUGGAGGGGGAUAACGACGGGAAACUGUCGCUAAUACCGCGUAGAGUCGAGAGACGAAAGUGCGGGACCGCAAGGCCGCAUGCCAUAGGAUGAGCCCAAGUGGGAUUAGGUAGUUGGUGGGGUAAUAGCCUACCAAGCCGACGAUCUCUAGCUGGUCUGAGAGGAUGACCAGCCACACCGGGACUGAGACACGGCCCGGACUCCUACGGGAGGCAGCAGUGGGGAAUAUUGCGCAAUGGGGGCAACCCUGACGCAGCCAUGCCGCGUGAAUGAAGAAGGCCUUCGGGUUGUAAAGUUCUUUCGGUAUUGAGGAAGGUUGUUGUGUUAAUAGCACGACAAAUUGACGUUAAAUACAGAAGAAGCACCGGCUAACUCCGUGCCAGCAGCCGCGGUAAUACGGAGGGUGCGAGCGUUAAUCGGAAUAACUGGGCGUAAAGGGCACGCAGGCGGACUUUUAAGUGAGGUGUGAAAUCCCCGGGCUUAACCUGGGAAUUGCAUUUCAGACUGGGAGUCUAGAGUACUUUAGGGAGGGGUAGAAUUCCACGUGUAGCGGUGAAAUGCGUAGAGAUGUGGAGGAAUACCGAAGGCGAAGGCAGCCCCUUGGGAGUGUACUGACGCUCAUGUGCGAAAGCGUGGGGAGCAAACAGGAUUAGAUACCCUGGUAGUCCACGCUGUAAACGCUGUCGAUUUGGGGAUUGGGCUUUAAGCUUGGUGCCCGAAGCUAACGUGAUAAAUCGACCGCCUGGGGAGUACGGCCGCAAGGUUAAAACUCAAAUGAAUUGACGGGGGCCCGCACAAGCGGUGGAGCAUGUGG